rnacentral:snRNA from 1 species
UUGCUUCAGUAGCAUAUAUACAAAAAUUGGAACAAUGCAGAGAAUACUAGCAUGGUCCCUGGGCAAGGAUGACAUACAAAUUCAUGAAGUGUUCCAUAUUUUU